GGUUAAGCGACUAAGCGUACACGGUGGAUGCCCCGGCAGUCAGAGGCGAUGAAGGGCGUGCUAAUCUGCGAUAAGCGCCGGUAAGGUGAUAUGAACCGUUAUAACCGGCGAUACCCGAAUGGGGAAACCCAGUGUGACUCGUCACACUAUCAUUAACUGAAUCCAUAGGUUAAUGAGGCGAACCGGGGGAACUGAAACAUCUAAGUACCCCGAGGAAAAGAAAUCAACCGAGAUUCCCCCAGUAGCGGCGAGCGAACGGGGAGGAGCCCAGAGCCUGAAUCAGCAUGUGUGUUAGUGGAAGCGUCUGGAAAGGCGCGCGAUACAGGGUGACAGCCCCGUACACAAAAGCGCAUGUGCUGUGAGCUCGAUGAGUAGGGCGGGACACGUGGUAUCCUGUCUGAAUAUGGGGGGACCAUCCUCCAAGGCUAAAUACUCCUGACUGACCGAUAGUGAACCAGUACCGUGAGGGAAAGGCGAAAAGAACCCCGGCGAGGGGAGUGAAAAAGAACCUGAAACCGUGUACGUACAAGCAGUGGGAGCACCCUUCGGGGUGUGACUGCGUACCUUUUGUAUAAUGGGUCAGCGACUUAUAUUCUGUAGCAAGGUUAACCGUAUAGGGGAGCCGGAGGGAAACCGAGUCUUAAUUGGGCGUUAAGUUGCAGGGUAUAGACCCGAAACCCGGUGAUCUAGCCAUGGGCAGGUUGAAGGUUGGGUAACACUAACUGGAGGACCGAACCGACUAAUGUUGAAAAAUUAGCGGAUGACCUGUGGCUGGGGGUGAAAGGCCAAUCAAACCGGGAGAUAGCUGGUUCUCCCCGAAAGCUAUUUAGGUAGCGCCUCGUGAAUUCAUCUCCGGGGGUAGAGCACUGUUUCGGCUAGGGGGCCAUCCCGGCUUACCAACCCGAUGCAAACUGCGAAUACCGGAGAAUGUUAUCACGGGAGACACACGGCGGGUGCUAACGUCCGUCGUGAAGAGGGAAACAACCCAGACCGCCAGCUAAGGUCCCAAAGUCAUGGUUAAGUGGGAAACGAUGUGGGAAGGCCCAGACAGCCGGGAUGUUGGCUUAGAAGCAGCCAUCAUUUAAAGAAAGCGUAAUAGCUCACUGGUCGAGUCGGCCUGCGCGGAAGAUGUAACGGGGCUAAACCAUGCACCGAAGCUGCGGCAGCGACGCUGAUGCGUUGUUGGGUAGGGGAGCGUUCUGUAAGCCUGCGAAGGUGACCUGUGAGGGUUGCUGGAGGUAUCAGAAGUGCGAAUGCUGACAUAAGUAACGAUAAAGCGGGUGAAAAGCCCGCUCGCCGGAAGACCAAGGGUUCCUGUCCAACGUUAAUCGGGGCAGGGUGAGUCGACCCCUAAGGCGAGGCCGAAAGGCGUAGUCGAUGGGAAACGGGUUAAUAUUCCCGUACUUGGUGUUACUGCGAAGGGGGGACGGAGAAGGCUAUGUUGGCCGGGCGACGGUUGUCCCGGUUUAAGCGUGUAGGUGUGUGUUCCGGUAAAUCCGGUUCACUUUAACACUGAGGCGUGAUGACGAGGCACUACGGUGCUGAAGCAACAAAUGCCCUGCUUCCGGGAAAAGCCUCUAAGCAUCAGGUAACAUCAAAUCGUACCCCAAACCGACACAGGUGGUCAGGUAGAGAAUACCAAGGCGCUUGAGAGAACUCGGGUGAAGGAACUAGGCAAAAUGGUGCCGUAACUUCGGGAGAAGGCACGCUGACACGUAGGUGAAGUGAUUUACUCACGGAGCUGAAGUCAGUCGAAGAUACCAGCUGGCUGCAACUGUUUAUUAAAAACACAGCACUGUGCAAACACGAAAGUGGACGUAUACGGUGUGACGCCUGCCCGGUGCCGGAAGGUUAAUUGAUGGGGUCAGCGCAAGCGAAGCUCCUGAUCGAAGCCCCGGUAAACGGCGGCCGUAACUAUAACGGUCCUAAGGUAGCGAAAUUCCUUGUCGGGUAAGUUCCGACCUGCACGAAUGGCGUAAUGAUGGCCGGGCUGUCUCCACCCGAGACUCAGUGAAAUUGAACUCGCUGUGAAGAUGCAGUGUACCCGCGGCAAGACGGAAAGACCCCGUGAACCUUUACUAUAGCUUGACACUGAACAUUGAGCCUUGAUGUGUAGGAUAGGUGGGAGGCUUUGAAGUGUGGACGCCAGUCUGCAUGGAGCCGACCUUGAAAUACCACCCUUUAAUGUUUGAUGUUCUAACGUGGACCCGUAAUCCGGGUUGCGGACAGUGUCUGGUGGGUAGUUUGACUGGGGCGGUCUCCUCCUAAAGAGUAACGGAGGAGCACGAAGGUUGGCUAAUCCCGGUCGGACAUCAGGAGGUUAGUGCAAUGGCAUAAGCCAGCUUGACUGCGAGCGUGACGGCGCGAGCAGGUGCGAAAGCAGGUCAUAGUGAUCCGGUGGUUCUGAAUGGAAGGGCCAUCGCUCAACGGAUAAAAGGUACUCCGGGGAUAACAGGCUGAUACCGCCCAAGAGUUCAUAUCGACGGCGGUGUUUGGCACCUCGAUGUCGGCUCAUCACAUCCUGGGGCUGAAGUAGGUCCCAAGGGUAUGGCUGUUCGCCAUUUAAAGUGGUACGCGAGCUGGGUUUAGAACGUCGUGAGACAGUUCGGUCCCUAUCUGCCGUGGGCGCUGGAGAACUGAGGGGGCUGCUCCUAGUACGAGAGGACCGGAGUGGACGCAUCACUGGUGUUCGGGUUGUCAUGCCAAUGGCACUGCCCGGUAGCUAAAUGCGGAAGAGAUAAGUGCUGAAAGCAUCUAAGCACGAAACUUGCCCCGAGAUGAGUUCUCCCUGAGACUUUAGGUCUCCUGAAGGAACGUUGAAGACGACGACGUUGAUAGGCCGGGUGUGUAAGCGCAGCGAUGCGUUGAGCUAACCGGUACUAAUGAACCGUGAGGCUUAACCUU
rnacentral:rRNA from 1 species